AUGCUCUCCGUGUGGCCCAUCCAGGAUUGCAACCUUCCCACAAGCAAUCGUUGUUCUGAAAGAGCCGAUUUAUUAUCUCCAAUGGGUGGUAGCCGUAGCGUGUCCAAGAUUUCGAGUCUAGCCAUCCACCGGAGGAAUCUGCGUUCUCUGGUCUUCAUCAGAGUGCCUAAGCUGCUAGGUCUUCUACCUUCCGGUUGUCCGACGAAAUUCCUCAAAGAAGAUACCCAUGGACCACCGAUGGAGGUUGCAGUUGCCGAAUUACCCGUGCUGCCACAAGAUGUCCUGAUGUCCAUAUUUGCACACCUGGAGAUCCCUGACCUGAUGCGUGCCAGCUCCAUCUUCUCCUCGUGGCGCUCCGCGUAUUCCAGCCUGCGCAACCUUCAGCAGUACCAGCAGCGCCAGACGUCGUGCCUCUUCUACACAUCUGAAUCUGCUGGUGAAAGCGUUGCGUGCCUCUACAGCCUCUUGGAGAAGAGGUCAUACAAGUUGACUCUCCCAAAGCCACCUAUUCGCGGCAGGUAUCUGAUUGGGUCAUCAAAUGGCUGGCUGGUUACUGCUGAUGAGAGAUCCGAGAUGCAUAUUCUCAAUCCCAUCACUUGUGAACAGAUCGCUCUCCCGUCGGUGAUCACCAUCACGCAUGUGACUCCUGUUUUUGAUGAAACAGUUGCCUUAUGUAAGUACAUUUACUCUCGUGACACAGCGGAGCACCGUAGUACCACCGGCCCUCAACCCGUUGAUCUUGGCGAGCUGCGACACUACCUCCUGAAAAAGGCAUUUGUAUUUUAUGAUGCAUCUGCAGGAGGCUAUAUUGUGGUGCUUAUUCACAAUCCAGAUGGGCAGCUCUCAUUUGCUUGGUUAGGGGAUGACAAGUGGACCUGGCUGAAACCACAUUGUUUUUUUAAGACUGCUUGUACAAAGACGGUAAGUUAUAUGCAGUGA
rnacentral:rRNA from 1 species